rnacentral:rRNA from 1 species
GAUAUAUGGAGCUUGCUUUAUAUAACUUAGCAGCGAACGGGUGAGUAACACGUAGAUAAUCUAUCCUAUACUGGGGGAUAGCCCGAUGAAAGUUGGAUUAAUACCGCAUAUAGCUAUAUAGUUGCAUGAUUAUGUAGUGAAAGAUUUAUUGGUAUAGGAGGAGUCUGCGGCACAUUAGCUAGUAGGUGAGGUAAAGGCUUACCUAGGCGACGAUGUGUAGCCGGUCUGAGAGGAUGAACGGCCACAAUGGAACUGAGACACGGUCCAUACUCCUACGGGAGGCAGCAGUGGGGAAUAUUGCACAAUGGGGGAAACCCUGAUGCAGCAACGCCGCGUGAGUGAAGAAAGUUUUCGGAUUGUAAAGCUCUGUUAGCAGGGAAGAGGAAGGACGGUACCUGCAGAGGAAGCCACGGCUAACUACGUGCCAGCAGCCGCGGUAAUACGUAGGUGGCAAGCGUUGUUCGGAAUAACUGGGCGUAAAGGAUGCGUAGGCGGUUAAACAAGUUAUAUGUUAAAUAUAUAGGCUUAACCUGUAGAAAGCAUAUAAAACUGUUUAACUAGAGUGCAGGAGAGGUAAGUGGAAUUCCUAGUGUAGCGGUGAAAUGCGUAGAGAUUAGGAAGAACACCAGUGGCGAAGGCGACUUACUGGACUGUAACUGACGCUGAGGCAUGAGAGCAUGGGGAGCAAACAGGAUUAGAUACCCUGGUAGUCCAUGCUGUAAACGAUGGGUACUAGGUGUGGGUUGUGAAUAACAAUUCGUGCCGUCGCAAACGCAAUAAGUACCCCGCCUGAGGAGUACGAUCGCAAGAUUAAAACUCAAAGGAAUUGACGGG